rnacentral:tRNA from 1 species
GCCCUGGUGGUGUGACGUUUAAGUGCUUGGCUGCUAACCAAAAGGGUGGUGGUUCAAAUCUACCCCAUGACU